UACAGAGGUCCCAAGCGUUGUUCGGAUUCAUUGGGCGUAAAGGGUGCGUAGGCGGCCCUCCUUGUCGCGUGUGAAAGCCCCGGGCUCAACCUGGGAAUUGCGCGCGAAACGGGCGGGCUUGAGUUCGGGAGAGGAGCGUGGAAUUCCCAGUGUAGAGGUGAAAUUCGUAGAUAUUGGGAAGAACACCGGUGGCGAAGGCGGCGCUCUGGACCGAGACUGACGCUGAGGCGCGAAAGCGUGGGGAGCAAACAGG
rnacentral:rRNA from 1 species